UACGAAGGGACCUAGCGUAAUUCGGAAUUACUGGGCGUAAAGCGCGCGUAGGCGGUUAAGUAAGUUAAUUGUGAAAGCCCAAAGCUCAACUUUGGAAUUGCAAUUAAAACUACUUAGCUAGAGUUUAUCAGAGGAAAGCGGAAUACAUAGUGUAGAGGUGAAAUUCGUAGAUAUUAUGUAGAACACCAGUUGCGAAGGCGGCUUUCUGGGAUAACACUGACGCUGAGGUGCGAAAGUAUGGGUAGCGAAGAGGAUUAGAUACCCUCGUAGUCCAUACCGUAAACGAUGAUUGUUAGAUGUUGGAAAUUUAUUUUCAGUAUCACAGCUAACGCGUUAAACAAUCCGCCUGGGGAGUACGACCGCAAGGUUAAAACUCAAAUGAAUUGACGGGGACCCGCACAAGCGGUGGAGCAUGUGGUUUAAUUCGAAGCUACGCGCAGAACCUUACCAACACUUGACAUGUCUGUCGCGGAUUCCAGAGAUGGAUUCCUUCGGUUCGGCCGGACAGAACACAGGUGCUGCAUGGCUGUCGUCAGCUCGUGUCGUGAGAUGUUGGGUUAAGUCCCGCAACGAGCGCAACCCCUACUUCUAGUUGCCAUCAGGUUAAGCUGGGCACUCUAGUAGGACUGCCUGUGAUAAGCAGGAGGAAGGUUGGGAUGACGUCAAGUCCUCAUGGCCCUUACGUGUUGGGCUACACACGUGCUACAAUGGCAGUGACAAUGAGAUGCUAAACAGCGAUGUUAAGCUAAACUCAAAAACCUGCCUCAGUUCGGAUUGCACUCUGCAACUCGAGUGCAUGAAGCUGGAAUCGCUAGUAAUCGCUCAUCAGCGCGGAGCGGUGAAUACGUUCCCGGGUCU
rnacentral:rRNA from 1 species